rnacentral:rRNA from 1 species
UACAGAGGUCCCAAGCGUUGUUCGGAUUCAUUGGGCGUAAAGGGUGUGUAGGUGGCGCCGUAAGUCGGGUGUGAAAUUUCGGAGCUUAACUCCGAAACUGCAUUCGAUACUGUGGUGCUUGAGGACUGGAGAGGAGACUGGAAUUCAUGGUGUAGCAGUGAAAUGCGUAGAGAUCAUGAGGAAGACCAGUGGCGAAGGCGGGUCUCUGGACAGUUCCUGACACUGAGACACGAAGGCCAGGGGAGCAAACGGG